AGAAUACCCCGGGUAGUCCCAUGCCGGAAAACGAAGGUCGGUCUUGGAGGGUUGUUCCCAUGAAGAAGUGGGCUUCCGAAGCCUAACGCAUUAAAGUCGCCCGCCUGGGGAAGUACGGGCGCAAGGGCUAAAACUCAAAAUGAAUUUGGCGGGGGGCCCGCACAAGCGGGGGGAGCAUGGUGGUUUAAUUUCGAUGCAACGCGAAGAACCUUACCCUGGUCUUGACAUCCAUAAAAUUUUUUAGGGAUAAAAAAGUGCCUUUUACCGGAAAUUAUGAGACAGGUGCUGCAUGGCUGUCGUCAGCUCGUGUUGUGAAAUGUUGGGUUAAGUCCCGCAACGAGCGCAACCCUUGUUCUCUGUUGCCAUCAGGUUAUGCUGGGAACUCAGAGGAGACUGCCGGUUAUAAGCUGGAGGAAGGUGGGGACGACGUCAAGUCAUCAUGGCCCUUACGACCAGGGCUACACACGUGCUACAAUGGCAUAUACAAAGAGAAGCAAAUCUGCGAAGACAAGCAAAACAAAUAAAGUAUGUCUUAGUUCGGACUGGAGUCUGCAACUCGACUCCACGAAGUCGGAAUCGCUAGUAAUCCUUGUUCAGACUGCCACGGUGAAUACGUUCCCGGGCCUUGCCCUCUCCGCCCGUC
rnacentral:rRNA from 1 species